UACGUAGGGUCCGAGCGUUGUCCGGAAUUACUGGGCGUAAAGAGCUCGUAGGUGGUUUGUCGCGUUGUUCGUGAAAACUCACAGCUUAACUGUGGGCGUGCGGGCGAUACGGGCAGACUUGAGUACUGCAGGGGAGACUGGAAUUCCUGGUGUAGCGGUGGAAUGCGCAGAUAUCAGGAGGAACACCGGUGGCGAAGGCGGGUCUCUGGGCCGAUAUUGACGCUGAGGAGCGAAAGCGUGGGGAGCAAACAGG
rnacentral:rRNA from 1 species